GAUGAACGCUGGCGGCGUGCCUAAUACAUGCAAGUCGAGCGAACGGACGAGGAGCUUGCUUUUCUGAUGUUAGCGGCGGACGGGUGAGUAACACGUGGAUAACCUACCUAUAAGACUGGGAUAACUUCGGGAAACCGGAGCUAAUACCGGAUAAUAUUUUGAACCGCAUGGUUCAAAAGUGAAAGACGGUCUUGCUGUCAUUUAUAGACGGAUCCGCGCUGCAUUAGCUAGUUGGUAAGGUAACGGCUUACCAAGGCAACGAUGCAUAGCCGACCUGAGAGGGAGGUUGGCCACCUGGGAUGUGAGACACGGUCCACACUCCUACGGUGGGCAGCAGUAGGGAAUCCUCCGCAAUGGGCGAAAGCCUAACGGAGCAACACGGCGUGAGUGCUGAUGGUCUUCGGCUCGUAAAACUCUGUUAUUCGGAAAGAACAUAAGCGUAAGUAACUGAGCACAUCUUGACAGUACCUGAUGAAAAAGCCCCGGCUAACUCCGUG
rnacentral:rRNA from 1 species